AGGGCGAGGAAACCUUGGGAUUUAUAUCAAAUCUAUUGUCAAGGGAGGACCGGCUGAAAUGAAUGGCAGGUUGACAGCUGGGGAUCAGCUGCUGAGUGUAGAUGGUCAAAAUCUGGCAGUCAAGAGAGGGGAUCAGCUGUGAUGUGCAGGUCCCAGGCUGGGGAAAGCCUGCUGCUGAAGGGGGAAAUGCACGGACGUGAGAACCCCUUACGAACCCCCCAUCUGCACGUCAUGGAACAUUUGCAGAACAGGGACCUCCCACCUUAAAGGCGUGCAGCAGAGAGCAGACACAACACAGAGAAACCUGCCCUGCACCGGACUCACCAUCUUAGGUUCAUUCAGAAUCACAGAUCCAUUAUUGGGCCACUGCAAUAAAGUGGCAAAGAUGCUCUUUUCCUGUGGUCUGAAAGUGUACCUGUCAACAUAAACAUAUGGACUCUCCGUUGACCUUCAGCCACUGACCCACCUGCCUCAGACGCUCCUCAAAGAGGGGAGCGAUCCUUCCAUCGUGUGUCGGGCCGACGUUCAUCAGCAGGUUUCCCCCACAGGACACAGUCUCCACCAACGUCU